AACUUCUGCAUUAACAGAAGUCUGCUAUAAUUGUGUGAUCCAGAUUGUAUCUGUUUCAUGCAAUAGUGCUAGCAGAGUAAUGCGUAGAAGGAGAUUAUUGCACACUGUACUGAAACUGAGAUGUUGUUGAACCUCUUUCUUAAUGUUCAUUAGCCUCUGUCUCAAGGUUCAGUGUCACACUC
ensembl:snoRNA